rnacentral:rRNA from 1 species
UGGGGAAUAUUGCACAAUGGGCGAAAGCCUGAUGCAGCGACGCCGCGUGAGGGAUGACGGCCUUCGGGUUGUAAACCUCUUUCAGCAGGGACGAAGCGCAAGUGACGGUACCUGCAGAAGAAGCACCGGCUAACUACGUGCCAGCAGCCGCGGUAAUACGUAGGGUGCAAGCGUUGUCCGGAAUUACUGGGCGUAAAGAGUUCGUAGGCGGUUUGUCGCGUCGUUUGUGAAAACCAGCAGCUCAACUGCUGGCUUGCAGGCGAUACGGGCAGACUUGAGUACUGCAGGGGAGACUGGAAUUCCUGGUGUGGCGGUGAAAUGCGCAGAUAUCAGGAGGAACACCGGUGGCGAAGGCGGGUCUCUGGGCAGUAACUGACGCUGAGGAACGAAAGCGUGGGUAGCGAACAGG